rnacentral:rRNA from 1 species
GGUAAAGCGAAUGAUUAGAGGCCUUAGGAUCGAAACGAUCUUAACCUAUUCUCAAACUUUAAAUGGGUAUGAACCUAACCUUUCUUGAUAUGAAGGUUUAGGUUAUGAUAUAUUGUGCCCAGUGGGCCACUUUUGGUAAGCAGAACUGGCGCUGUGGGAUGAACCAAACGUAAUGUUACGGUGCCCAAAUUAACAACUCAUACAGAUACCAUGAAAGGCGUUGGUUGCUUAAGACAGCAGAUCGGUGGACAUGGAAGUCGUAAUCCGCUAAGGAGUGUGUAACAACUCACCUGCCGAAGCAACUAGCCCUUAAAAUGGAUGGCGCUUAAGUUGUAUACCUAUACAUUACCGCAAAAGUAAAUGAUUUCAUAUAUAAUUGAAAUUUUGAAACUUUUGUGAGUAGGAAGGUACAAUGGUGUGCACAGAAGUGUUUGGCGUGAGCCUGCAUGGAGCCGCCAUUGGCACAGAUCUUGGUGGUAGUAGCAAAUAAUCGAAUGAGACCUUGGAGGACUGAAGUGGAGAAGGGUUUCGUGUGAACAGUGGUUGAUCACGAGUUAGUCGGUCCUAAGUUUAAGGUGAAAGCCGAAAAUUUUUAAAGUUAUAAUAAUAAAAAAAAUAUUUUUUUUAUAUUAAUACACUUUAUUAUAUUCGAACGAAAGGGAAUACGGUUCCAAUUCCGUAACCUGUUGAGUAUCCGUUUGUUAUUAAAAAUGGGCCUUGUGCUCAUCCUGGCAACAGGAACGACCAUAAAGAAGCUGUCGAGUGAUAUCGGAAGAGUUUUCUUUUCUGUUUUAUAAUCGUAUUACCAUGGAAGUCUUUCGAAGAGAGAUAUGGUAAAUGGAUUAGAAGAGCAUGACAUUUACUGUUGUGUCGAUAUUAACUCCUCGGACCUUGAAAAUUUAUGGUGGGGUCACGCAAACUUCUCAACAGGCCGUACCGAUAUCCGCAGCUGGUCUCCAAGGUGAAGAGUCUCUAGUCGAUAGAAUAAUGUAGGUAAGGGAAGUCGGCAAAUUAGAUCCGUAACUUCGGGAUAAGGAUUGGCUCUGAAGAUUGAGAUAGUCGGGCUUGAUUGGGAAGCAAUAACAUGGUUUAUGUACUCGUUCUGGGUAAAUAGAAUUAUUGUAUAUGUAUAUUUUUAAUAUGCUAUGCAUUUUUCGUUCCUCGGAUAGUAGUUACGUAACCAAUUGUGGAACUUUCUUGCUAAUAUUAUUAUGUUUAAAUUAUUAUUGCAAUAUUGUUUUUUAAAUGGUAUUGUAUAAUAAUACAUUUUAAUUAUAACGAUUAUCAAUUAACAAUCAAUUCAGAACUGGCACGGACUUGGGGAAUCCGACUGUCUAAUUAAAACAAAGCAUUGUGAUGGCCCUAACGGGUGUUGACACAAUGUGAUUUCUGCCCAGUGCUCUGAAUGUCAAAGUGAAGAAAUUCAAGUAAGCGCGGGUCAACGGCGGGAGUAACUAUGACUCUCUUAAGGUAGCCAAAUGCCUCGUCAUCUAAUUAGUGACGCGCAUGAAUGGAUUNNNNNNNNNNNNNNNNNNNNNNNNNNNNNNNNNNNNNNNNNNNNNNNNNNNNNNNNNNNNNNNNNNNNNNNNNGGGGAAAGAAGACCCUUUUGAGCUUGACUCUAAUCUGGCAGUGUAAGGAGACAUAAGAGGUGUAGCAUAAGUGGGAGUUAGAUUAUUUUCGGAUUUUUUAACAACAAUGAAAUACCACUACUCUUAUUGUUUCCUUACUUACUUGAUUAAGUGGAACAUGCAUAUUUGCCUAGCCAUAUUAUGGGUUAUAUUUAUAUAACUUUUGGUAUUGGGUUUCUUAUGCAAGUUUCUUGUACAAAAUACGAAGAGUUUGUUAUAUAAUUGUAAACAAAUAUGCAAUAUAAAUGUUUAAAUGUUUAUGUUAUUUCGGUAAUAUGGAUAUGCGAAUAUUAUAAUUGUAAUUUGGUAUAACUCCAAACACUCAGGUAUGAUCCAAUUCAAGGACAUUAUCAGGUAGGGAGUUUGACUGGGGCGGUACAUCUCUCAAAUAAUAACGGAGGUGUCCCAAGGCCAGCUCAGUGCGGACAGAAACCACACAUAGAGCAAAAGGGCAAAUGCUGACUUGAUCUGGAUGUUCAGUACACAUACAGACAGCAAAAGCUCGGCCUAUCGAUCCUUUUGGUUUAAGGAGUUUUUAACAAGAGGUGUCAGAAAAGUUACCAUAGGGAUAACUGGCUUGUGGCGGCCAAGCGUUCAUAGCGACGUCGCUUUUUGAUCCUUCGAUGUCGGCUCUUCCUAUCAUUGUGAAGCAAAAUUCACCAAGCGUUGGAUUGUUCACCCAUGCAAGGGAACGUGAGCUGGGUUUAGACCGUCGUGAGACAGGUUAGUUUUACCCUACUAAUGACAAAAUGUUAUUGCGACAGCAUUCCUGCGUAGUACGAGAGGAACCGCAGGUACGGACCAAUGGCACAAUACUUGUUCGAGCGAACAGUGGUAUGACGCUACGUCCGUUGGAUUAUGCCUGAACGCCUCUAAGGUCGUAUCCGUGCUGGACUGCAAUAAUAAAUAUGGGGCGCUUGUUGUUUGUUUGGCUAAUUAAAACCAUAUUAAAGUUUUUAUAAUUUAUUUUAUAUUAACGACAAUGGAUGUGUGAUGCCAAUGUUACUUGUUACAUAGCUUAUACUGGAGGAUAUUAUCACCAGUAGACAAUGCUUAGUAGCUUGUUAAAACAUUAAUUAUUACAAUAACAAAGCCUAGAAUCAAUUGUAAACGACUUUGGUAACGGGCAAGG